CUCCGCCUUCCAACGUCGUUUCAAGACCUUGAUUCUUAUACGCUUACGAUCAAGAGCACGCGUAACUAAGCAGCUCUCUCUCCCCCCACAAACCCAUAAAUAUUUCACUUGCCCCGCCCCAGUCUCGAUAAACCUCUCCUCAUGCCUCACCAAAGCCCUCUCGCUUCUCAAAACUCCUCGUGAGCUCCACCAAAUCCACUCUCUGCUCAUCACCUCCUACCUACUCUGGCCGCGCUUCUGCUCUAGCAAGCUCAUCGCCGAGUACUUGGAGCUCCGGAACCCCGCUGCCUUUCGGUCGGUCUUCAUCUCGACUCGCUAUUCCAAGAACAACGUCUUCAUCCGGAAUUCUUUGAUUCGAGCUCGAAUGCAGAUUGGCAUAUUCUCGGAAGCUCUGGAUUACUAUAUCGAGCUACGGGGGAUGAAAUUGGCCCACAAUGCCUUCACCUUCCCCUCAGUUCUUGGCGCCUGUUCUGGCUCGGCCGAUCUCGAGCUAGGCCGGAGAAUCCACGAGCACGUUUUAGAAGUUGGAUUGGGUUCUGAUUUGUACAUCAGAAAUUCUUUGAGUGAUAUGUAAGCGAGGGUCGGUUCCUUAAAUGAGGCUGGGAAGGUGUUCGAUGGAAUGCAUCACAGAGACAUUGCUUCGCCUGGAAAUAAUGUGCACGAGGAAUGGGAGAAAACUGUGGAUGUUUAGGGGGAAUCAAAGUUACUGGUCUGAUUCAAGAUUGUUCCACAGUGGAGGGUGUCUUUCCGGCCUAUGGAGGUCUUGGGGCUGUUGAAGAGGGUGGAAUGAUUCAUCGGCUUGUAUAUAAGAUAAAGAUCGAGGAGGAUAGACUAGUGAAAAUGGCCUUAUUUUUUCCAUGUACUGCAAUUUGAGAAUUUAACUGAUGCUCAAAGAAUUUUUGAUGUGAUGAUGGGGAGGGACACUGUUUCUUGGUAUACCAUGAUUGAUGGAUAUUACUAGUUUGGUGGCUUUGACAUGGCUUUGGAGCUGUUUCAAGAGAUGAUGAUUUGAUCAAAACUGGAUCUCGUGACAAUCACAACUGUUCUUCAUGUUCCUCAUGAUAUCAGUGACUAAAAACUUGGUGGUUCAGUUCAAGAUUACAUGAUAAGGAAGUGGUAUGGAUGCGAUAUUGUGGUUCUGAGUGUUCUUAUAGCUAUGGAUUCAAAGGGAGGAAAUUUUUUCAUGUCAUGGAAAGUGUUUGAUCAGAUGGAUUAUAGGGACUCUUUUUCAUGGGAUUCACUGGUUAGUGAUUUUGUUAACAGGGGAUUUUUUUGGUGAAGAGACAGACCUUUUUUAAGUCUAUGAAAGAGUUGGAAGUAAGACCUGACUCUGUUACAAAUUUGUUUAUCAGCAAUGCUCUUGACAUGUACCUAAAAAUGUGCUAGAUUAGAAGAUGCAUUGAAAGUGUUUGUGAGCAUGGGAACCCCUGAUGCAGUACGUUGGAAUACUAUUAUAUCUGGGUGUGUCCAGAAUGGUAAUUGCAAUUUAGCGUUCAAACUGUUGAACCAAAUGAAGGUCAAGGGACCAAAUCUGGACAUGGCAACAAUAUUGGGCAUCUUGUCUGCAUGCUCCUUUGUCGCAGCAACAAGAGCAAAAGAUCCAUGGUUGCAUUUUCAAACUUGGUUUAAACAGUGAUGUUCCAGUUUGGAAUGCUCUGAUUGAAAUGUACUCAAGUGUGGCAGUUUAGAUUAUGCAGUCCGUGUCUUUGAACAUAUGAAUACCAAGCACCUUGUGUUGUGGACCUCUUUGGUGUGUGCCUGUGGUAUGUAUGGUCAAGAUGAGAAGGCCUUGAGAACAUUUCGGAGGAUGAAAGAUAUGGGUCUAAGACCAGACAAUGUCGCAUUUAUCGCUGUCAUGUAUGCAUGUAUCCAUGCUGGUUUAGUCAAAGUAGGUAAGAUGUAUUUUAAGAGGAUGGAGAAAGACUAUAAUAUCAUGCCCAAAAUGGAACACUAUGUUUGCAUGGUUGAUCUGCUUGGUGUUUUUGGAAAUUAGAGGCAGAAACUUUCAUUGAAGAAAUGCCAUUUGAACUGACAUAAAUUAUGGGGAGCUCUACUCAGUGCCUGUAGAGUCUCUGGUGAAACUAAGAUGGCUGAGCAUGUUGCUAAAAGAAUUAUGGCCUCAUAUUCAGAAAACACUGGCUAUUAUGUUCAUGUAUCAAAUAUAAAUGCAUCUAUAGGGAAGUGGGAUAUUGUUAGUAAGAUGAGGAAAUCCAUGAAAGAUAAAUAAAAUGAAGAAAGAUCCAGGAUUUAGCUGGAUAGAAAUCAGAAAUAAGGUGCAUGUUUUUUGGACUGGGGAUCAAUUGCUGGAACAUUCUAAGGAGGUGCAUCAGCUGUUAGAAAGACUUGAUGGAUUGAUGGCUAAGGAAGGAUAUAUUCCUAAUAAGAACUUUGUCCUGAAGGACGUGGAAGAGGACAAUAAGGGAUAUAUGCUAUGCACACACAGUGAGAGGCUCUAAAGCUUUUGGGUUGUUAAAUACAAAGCCUGGAACGCAAUUGCAGGUAAUGAACAUUCAGAAGUGUGGAGAUUGCCACACGGCAAGCAAAUACAUAUCAAAAGUUGUCCAGAGAGAAAUAUUGGUCCGAGAUGCUAGUCACUUUCAUCGAUUCAAGGAUGGAAUUUUCAGUUUUGGUGAUUACUGGUGACAAACCUUUUUUUUCUAUGCUUAGGACUGAUUUUUUCAGACAUGUAGAAUUCAAAAUACUAAUAGGGCAGAUGGAGAGUUCUGACUUUACUUAGUGAAGAUUCACUUAAUUGGUUUUUAUACAAAUAAUAGAGAAAAUUUUGAAAAUCAAAAGGGCUAUCCGUAUAUGGACAGUCUUUUGUCCUGUAAUCUUAAUCGAAGAGUUGGAUUACAUUUGUGAAAUUUUGUGUAAGUUAAUCCAUUACCAAGAAUGUAGGUGGCAAAAGUGACUGAAUUCAUACCAAUUUAAAAAAAUGAAAAUGAUGAAGCAGAUUUGCAGAUGCUUGUUUUUCAAUUAGGUGGCAUCCCUUUAUCAAUUGAUUGUAAGCAUUGGUCAUCCAUAAGCAUGAGGUGGAAUUGGAGUGGGAGCAAGUAUGAGAUUUGAUGGAAGAAAUGAUGAUUAUUUAUUUUGCUUAAACUUCAGUGUGUCAGAGUUAAUGGGAGCAGAUUAGAAAGAAGGCAGCUUGGAAACAGGGGAUUUAACUAUCGUAGAAUUUGGGUCAGGAGCAGCAAAGGAAAUACAUAUAUAUAUAUAUAUAUAGCAUCCUUCCAACACUUCAUGUAUUUAAGUUGAGAGAAAAUUAGGCUUCACCCUGGUGCUGGCAUGCAAGUUGACUUAUUAUGGAAUUCACAAAGUGCAGCAAGUUCAGUUUGUCCCCCUUGUUGUUGCAAAAUAAGCUUCACGGAGCGUACGGUAUUUGCUUCAGAUGUUUAUACUUGGCAAGCAGCGGCAAGACGCCUGUAAUCUUGUGAGACUCUUCCAUUCAACAACUGGUCAGGUAUGGUGCACUGACUUGUGUUAUAGAUAAUGUGAAAGUAAUGAAUCAGAAUAUGGAAGUUUAUUUCAGGUCUCCAGUUAAUAAGCAUCAAGUUUGUGCUGGAUGGAGCUCAUAUGAUUAAAAUUCAAGCAUCUACAUGUUCUUCUUGUUUUGUUGCUUAUGUCGGCAGAUUCCCAAGUAUCAUGAAGGGCAAACUUAUGGGCAGAAAAACAUUUUGUUAUAUUCUUUUAUGCUACCAAACAAAUAGAAGGACCAUUCGAAGUGGUUUGCGUUUUGUCAUUUAGCUUUACGCCAGAUCUUCGUUGUUCUUCAUUCUUCUAGACGACAUAACAACAUUGCUUUUCCCAAAAGUAUCUUUUUUUGAGGAAAAGGGAGUCUGAAGCCGCCCAAGCUUUACUAAUGAAAAGAAACGAAUGCUGUACGGAGUUUACCAGGAAAAAAGAUAAAAGGUUUGAACAGCAGCGACCAAUCCAAGGCUAUGUCUUAUUGCAAGUCUCAAUUUCUGUCCCUUAUCUGCCUGCAUUUGUUCAGCUGCCGGAUGAUGGAAUACAGACUUUACAGCGGGUGCAUUUGUGCACGAAUUCUGAUAGUUUGGGUAAUAAAAGUAGUUUUUUGAGAGAAAAAUAAAAAAGUUUGAAACAUACUAAGUGUUGUCCUUCCUUUUCUUUCAAGUUGACAGACUUUACUAUGUGGCCAGCCAUAUACCGUAUAGGCUGACGAUGAAGAUCUGUUCCGAGCAUUCCAAAAUAUUUUAUUUUUUAAUUUUAUUGAAUGUAUCCGUAUUCUUCAAAUAUGAACGGAAAAAAAAAAGGUUUGCACCUUGAGAA